AAGUCGUAACAAGGUUUCCGUAGGUGAACCUGCGGAAGGAUCAUUAUUGAAUAAACCUGAUGUGGUUGUAGCUGGCUCUUUCGGGAGUAUGUGCACGCCCAUCAUCUUUAUAUCUCCACCUGUGCACCUUUUGUAGACACAAAGGAUUGAGAAAUCAAUCGUUUGGGUUUACGUUUUAUCAUAUACCCCAUAGUAUGUAUUAGAAUGAAUCAAUGGGCUUUGUGCCUAUAAACAUUAUACAACUUUCAGCAACGGAUCUCUUGGCUCUC
rnacentral:misc_RNA from 1 species